UACGUAGGGGGCAAGCGUUGUCCGGAAUCAUUGGGCGUAAAGAGCGUGUAGGCGGCCAGAUAAGUCCGCUGUGAAAUCUCGAGGCUCAACUUCGAGCUGUCGGUGGAAACUGUCUGGCUAGAGUCCGGAAGAGGAGAAUGGAAUUCCUGGUGUAGCGGUGAAAUGCGCAGAUAUCAGGAAGAACACCAGUGGCGAAGGCGGCUCACUGGUCCGGUACUGACGCUGAGGUGCGAAAGCGUGGGGAGCAAACAGG
rnacentral:rRNA from 1 species